rnacentral:rRNA from 1 species
UACGUAGGGUGCAAGCGUUAUCCGGAUUCACUGGGUUUAAAGGGUGCGUAGGCGGGCAGGUAAGUCUGUGGUGAAAUCCCCGAGCUUAACUUGGGAACUGCCGUUGAUACUAUCUGUCUUGAAUAUUGUGGAGGUAAGCGGAAUAUGUCAUGUAGCGGUGAAAUGCUUAGAUAUCGUCAAGAACACCGAUAGCGAAGGCAGCUUACCAAGCUCAGACUGACACUGAUGCACGAAAGUGUGGGGAUCAAACAGG